ensembl:lncRNA
AUGUUUGUUAUUUGUUGUUUAACGCUCUCUCUGUCUCUUUCUCUCCCUCCCUUUGUCUCUCCAUCACCCUCCCUCUCUAGAUCUCCUCAGCGCUCCCUCCCUGGGACGCCCGUCACUAACCCACUCAAACACUUCCCCAUCGACCUGCGUACAUCCAUGGACGGAAAGUACAAGGAGAUUGCAGAGGAGCUGUUCACUCGCAGCCUGACGGAGAGUGAGAUGCGCACCGCUCCUUAUGAGUUCCCUGAGGACAGCCCCAUCGAGCAGCUGGAAGAGAGACGCCAACGCCUGGAGAGGCAGAUCAGCCAGGACAUCAAGCUUGAGCCAGAGAUCCUGCUCCGCGCAAAACAGGAGUUCAUGAAAAUCGACAGUGAUGCCGACCUGGAGUUGAUGAAUCAGGAGGGUGGUGUGGACAGGACCGAUGAUGGCUGGAUGAAGGAGAGAGUCUUACCGAUGGAGCGAGAGUACCAGCGUGUGUCAAUAUCAGGGGAGGAGAAGUGUGGGGUGCCCUUCACAGACCUGGUGGAUGCAGCUAAGUGUGUGGUGAAGGCCCUGUUCAUCAGGGAGAAGUACAUCGCUCUGUCCAUGCAGAACUUCUGUAAGACCACUGCCCGUGAGCUGGGGGAGCUGGGAGAGAAACCCCUGGACCUACGCAUCUAUGAGGAGAUCCCUGAGACCCCCGUUGAUGCAGAUGCUCCAGUCCACCCCCCUGUCUCAGAGACUCACCCCUAUGAAAACCAGGUCACCAAGAACAUGCCUGCAGACACAGGGUACAGCUGUAAGAUGGUGGAUGGGGUCAUGCAUGUCUACACCAAGAAGAGCCCCAUGGAGAAGAGUACAGAGUUGGACCUGCCCUACCCAGACCUGAAGGAGUACAUCGCUGACAUGAAUGUCAUGAUGGCUCUCAUCAUCAACGGACCAGUGAAAUCGUUCUGCUACCGCCGGCUGCAGUACCUCAGCUCUAAGUUCCAGAUGCACAUUCUGCUGAACGAGAUGAAGGAGUUGGCAGCCCAGAAGCAGGUUCCUCACCGCGACUUUUACAACAUUCGCAAGGUGGACACCCACAUCCACGCUUCGUCCUGUAUGAACCAGAAGCACCUUCUGCGCUUUAUCAAGCGGGCCAUGAAGAAGUACCCUGGGGAGAUAGUCCACAUGGAGCACGGGCGGGGACAGACCCUCAUGGAGGUGUUUGAGAACAUGAACCUGACCGCCUUCGACCUGAGUGUGGACACACUGGACAUGCACGCGGACCGCAACACGUUCCAUCGCUUCGACAAGUUCAACGCCAAAUACAACCCCAUCGGAGAAUCCAUCCUGAGAGAGAUCUUCAUCAAGACAGACAACCACAUCGAGGGCAAAUACUUUGGCCACAUGAUCAAGGAGGUGAUGGCUGACCUAGAGGAGAGUAAGUACCAGAACGUGGAGCUGCGUCUGUCCAUCUACGGCCGCUCCCGGGACGAGUGGGACAAGCUGGCCCGUGGGCCCGUUACGCACAUCCACUUUAGUCAUGCGUUACCCUCCUCUGACUGCAGUGAUGUGUACCGAACCAAGAAGCAGCUGGCUUCCAGGAGAUGUGGGAACAUCUUUAUGCCUCUGUUUGAGGUCACCAUCAACCCCCGCAGCCACCCUGAGUGCACCUUUCCUGUGGUGGGCUUUGACAGCGUGGAUGACGAGUCCAAGCCGGAGCACCACAUCUUCAACAUGGACAGCCCCCUGCCAGCCGACUGGACAGAGGAGGACAACCCUCCCUACUCCUACUACCUCUACUACACCUACGCCAACAUGACCGUGCUCAACCAUCUGCGCAGGAGGCGUGGUUUCCACACGUUGGUGCUGCGCCCUCAUUGCGGGGAGGCGGGGCCUGUCCACCACCUGGUGUCUGGUUUCAUUCUGUCAGAGAACAUCUCCCAUGGGCUGCUGCUCAGGAAGGCUCCAGUGCUGCAGUACCUCUACUACCUGGCUCAGAUUGGCAUCGCCAUGUCCCCCCUGAGCAACAACAGCCUGUUCCUCAGCUACCACCGCAACCCCCUGCCUGAGUAUCUGGCCAGAGGCCUCAUGGUCUCUCUGUCCACUGACGACCCCCUACAGUUCCACUUCACCAAGGAGCCCCUGAUGGAGGAGUACAGCAUCGCCACACAGGUGUGGAAGCUGAGCUCCUGUGACAUGUGUGAGCUGGCCAGGAACAGUGUCCUCAUGAGCGGCUUCUCCCACAAGGCAAAGAGCUACUGGCUGGGGCCCAAAUACAGCAAGGAGGGCCCUGAGAGCAACGACAUCCGUCGCACCAAUGUCCCGGACAUCCGCGUGGCAUACCGCAGUGAGACCCUGCUGGAGGAGCUCAACCUCAUCACCCAUGCUGUGCACACCAAGGAGCUGGACAACAUCGACGAGGAAGACACCCUCUCCAUGGCCCCCGUUGGGGCAGAAGGACACUAAAUCAACAACCCCACCCCGACUUCUAACCCCCGGCCCCUCCCUGCAUGACACUGAGGGGCUGCAGUAUGAGUGGACUCCAGCUUGUUGUUUAACCUCUACCUCUUAUCCCCUUAUCCCCCUCCCACUAGGGAAUUGGACUGUGCACUCGUCUCUCAGCUCUCUUGUACUAAAGCCAAGGAUACAAUGCUCCCUGAGUGGCCCCAUCUCUCUGUCAGUGAUGGGGGUGGUCAGUAUGGACUCAUGUUCCAGUCCCCCCUUCUCCCUCAACCCAGGUUCCCUCUUCAACUCUCUCUGG